GCAGAGAUGGCUCAGCAUUAAGAGCACUGGCUGCUCUUCCAGAUACCAGGGUUCAAUUCCCAGUACCUACA
rnacentral:tRNA from 1 species